ACAGUGGACGCGAGCAUCUGUGGCCAAGUUUUUAAGGGCGCACGGUGGAUGCCUUGGCACCAGGAACCGAUGAAGGACGUGAGAGGCCGCGAUAGGCCCCGGGGAGCUGCCAACUGAGCUUUGAUCCGGGGGUGUCCGAAUGGGGAAACCCGGCAGUCGUCAUGGGCUGUCACCCGCUGCUGAACACAUAGGCAGUGUGGAGGGAACGAGGGGAAGUGAAACAUCUCAGUACCCUCAGGAAGAGAAAACAACCGUGAUUCCGGGAGUAGUGGCGAGCGAAACCGGAUGAGGCCAAACCGUAUGCGUGUGAUACCCGGCAGGGGUUGCGCAUGUGGGGUUGUGGGAAUGAGCUUUCACAGUCUGCCGGCUGUGAGGCGAGUCAGAAACCGUAUGGAUAGGCGAAGGACAUGCGAAAGGUCCGGCGUAGAGGGUAAGACCCCCGUAGCUGAAAUCUGUGCGGCUUGCUUGCUCAUCUCCCAAGUAGCACGGGGCCCGAGAAAUCCCGUGUGAAUCUGGCGGGACCACCCGCUAAGCCUAAAUAUUCCCUGGUGACCGAUAGCGGAUAGUACCGUGAGGGAAUGGUGAAAAGUACCGCGGGAGCGGAGUGAAAUAGUACCUGAAACCGUGUGCCUACAAGCCGUGGGAGCGUCGAGAUCUUCGGAUCUUCGUGACUGCGUGCCUUUUGAAGAAUGAGCCUGCGAGUUAGCGGUGUGUAGCGAGGUUAACCCGUGUGGGGAAGCCGUAGCGAAAGCGAGUCCGAAUAGGGCGAUUGAGUUGCACGCUCUAGACCCGAAGCGGAGUGAUCUAGCCAUGGGCAGGUUGAAGCGGAGGUAAGACUUCGUGGAGGACCGAACCCACCAGGGUUGAAAACCUGGGGGAUGACCUGUGGUUAGGGGUGAAAGGCCAAUCAAACUCCGUGAUAGCUGGUUCUCCCCGAAAUGCAUUUAGGUGCAGCGUCGUGUGUUUCUUGCCGGAGGUAGAGCACUGGAUAGGCGAUGGGCCCUACCGGGUUACUGACCUUAGCCAAACUCCGAAUGCCGGUAAGUGAGAGCGCGGCAGUGAGACUGUGGGGGAUAAGCUCCAUGGUCGAGAGGGAAACAGCCCAGAGCAUCGACUAAGGCCCCUAAGCGUACGCUAAGUGGGAAAGGAUGUGGAGUCGCAGAGACAACCAGGAGGUUGGCUUAGAAGCAGCCACCCUUGAAAGAGUGCGUAAUAGCUCACUGGUCAAGUGAUUCCGCGCCGACAAUGUAGCGGGGCUCAAGCGUACCGCCGAAGUCGUGUCAUUGCAGC
rnacentral:rRNA from 1 species